CACGGAGUUAGCCGGCGCUUAUUCCUCAGGUACCGUCAGACUGCAUGGGUAUUAGCCCUGCAGAUUUCGCUCCUGAUAAAAGUGCUUUACAACCCGAAGGCCUUCUUCACACACGCGGCAUUGCUGGAUCAGGCUUGCGCCCAUUGUCCAAUAUUCCCCACUGCUGCCUCCCGUAGGAGUCUGGGCCGUGUCUCAGUCCCAGUGUGGCUGAUCAUCCUCUCAGACCAGCUAGCGAUCGUCGCCUUGGUGAGCCAUUACCUCACCAACAAACUAAUCGCACAUCGGUCCAUCCAACCGCGCGAGGCCCGAAGGUCCCCCGCUUUCUCCCGUAGGACGUAUGCGGUAUUAGCGUAAGUUUCCCUACGUUAUCCCCCACAGUUGGGUAGGUCCCGAUGCAUUACUCACCCGUCCGCCACUCGCCACCCACAGAGCAAGCUCUGCUGUGCUGCCGUUCGACUUGCAUGUGUUAAGCAUGCCGC
rnacentral:rRNA from 1 species